rnacentral:lncRNA from 1 species
GGAAAUCUGUAUGAAACUUAGGAUGAGAAUUAAAAAUACAAAAAUAAUAGGGAAUUAUAAAAAGUGUCCGGGUAACUGACGUUUCUAAAAUAAAUACUUUGAGUUUUGCUAAAUCCCCUCCAUCUAUUUUGAAGCAGAGGAUCAAUUGGAAAUUGGUGUAAUGGCCUGAUCACCCAGUACACCAUGAUUCGACAGGAGACACUGCUUCGAAAAUUAUUUGAAAUUAUUUAGAAAAGAAGUCGGAGUUUUAAAGAUAAUAAGAAAGUAAAUUUAUUUGAACUACGAUUUGAGAAACAUGUUUUAUUAUUUGCUUAUUGGAAAUUGUUUUGAAGUUGCAAUUAAUUGUUUGGUUUUCUUAUUUUGUCGGCAUGUCAAAAAUUUAUCUGAUUUUAGAAUUUAAAUUAUUUACAAUGAUUGCAUGUUUGAUUAAAUUUUUAUCAUAUUGUCUAUCCCGAGGACUAAAUUAGGCCUAUAGAAAUUAAUACUGAUAACUUAAUAAUAAAUAGUAUAGAAUAUGAAUCUGACAGAAAAUGUCAAUUAAGAUGUAGAUUAAAU